rnacentral:rRNA from 1 species
GACGAACGCUGGCGGCGUGCUUAACACAUGCAAGUCGAACGAUGAAGCCCAGCUUGCUGGGUGGAUUAGUGGCGAACGGGUGAGUAACACGUGGGCAACCUGCCCCAAACUCUGGGAUAACUCCUCGAAAGAGGUGCUAAUACCGGAUACGAACUAGACAGACAUCUGUACUAGUUGGAAAGUUUUUCGGUUUGGGAUGGGCCCGCGGCCUAUCAGCUUGUUGGUGAGGUAACGGCUCACCAAGGCUACGACGGGUAACCGGCCUGAGAGGGCGACCGGUCACACUGGGACUGAGACACGGCCCAGACUCCUACGGGAGGCAGCAGUGGGGAAUAUUGCGCACUGGGCGAAAGCCUGACGCAGCGACGCCGCGUGAGGGAUGAAGGUCUUCGGAUCGUAAACCUCUUUCAGUAGGGACGAAGCGAAAGUGACGGUACCUAAAGAAGAAGCACCGGCUAACUACGUGCCAGCCGCCGCCGUAAUAC